rnacentral:rRNA from 1 species
GACGAACGCUGGCGGCGUGCUUAACACAUGCAAGUCGAACGGAAAGGCCCUGCUUGCAGGGUGCUCGAGUGGCGAACGGGUGAGUAACACGUGGGUGAUCUGCCCCUUACUUUGGGAUAAGCCUGGGAAACUGGGUCUAAUACUGGAUAGGACCAUGCUGUAGGUGGUGUGGUGGAAAGAUUAGUUUCGGUAAGGGAUGAGCUCGCGGCCUAUCAGCUUGUUGGUGGGGUAAUGGCCUACCAAGGCGUCGACGGGUAGCCGGCCUGAGAGGGUGGACGGCCACAUUGGGACUGAGAUACGGCCCAGACUCCUACGGGAGGCAGCAGUGGGGAAUAUUGCACAAUGGGCGCAAGCCUGAUGCAGCGACGCCGCGGGGGGGAUGACGGCCGUCGGGUUGUAAACUCCUUUCAGCCAUGACGAAGCCCUUGUGGUGACGGUAGUGGUAGAAGAAGCACCGGCUAACUACGUG